rnacentral:rRNA from 1 species
AUACGGAGGGGGCUAGCGUUGUUCGGAAUUACUGGGCGUAAAGCGCACGUAGGCGGACGAGAAAGUCAGAGGUGAAAUCCCAGGGCUCAACCCUGGAACUGCCUUUGAAACUCCUUGUCUUGAGGUCGAGAGAGGCGAGUGGAAUUCCGAGUGUAGAGGUGAAAUUCGUAGAUAUUCGGAGGAACACCAGUGGCGAAGGCGACCACCUGGACUGAUACUGACACUGAGGUGCGAAAGCGUGGGGAGC